GGUGAACGCUGGCGGCGUGCUUAAGACAUGCAAGUCGAACGGGCUCUUCGGAGCCAGUGGCGCACGGGUGAGUAACGCGUAACUGACCUACCCCAAAGUCGCGGAUAACGAUUCGAAAGAAUCGCUAUACGUGAUGUUCUGUUAGAUCCUGUUUUGCCAGUAAAGAUUUAUUUCUUUGGGAUGGGGUUGCGUUCCCUCAGCUAGUUGGUGGGGUAAAGGCCCACUAAGGCGACGACGGAUCGCCGGCCUGAGAGGGUGGCCGGCCACAGGGGCACUGAGACACGGGUCCCACUCCUACGGGAGGCAGCAGUUAGGAAUCUUCCACAAUGGGCGAAAGCCUGAUGGAGCGACGCCGCGUGAGGGAUGAAGGUCUUCGGAUCGUAAACCUCUGAAUCAGGGACGAAAGACGCGAAAGCGGGAUGACGGGACCUGAGUAAUAGCACCGGCUAACUCCGUG
rnacentral:rRNA from 1 species